UCAACUGUGCCUCAAUAAAACUUUAAAAAGUGAAAAAGGGCACAUUUUAGGGGAAAUGAAAGUUGUGAGAUGGAAAUGGGGGCGUUAAUGCCUUAACCUAUUCUAAAACUUUUGCUCAUAAAUGUCAAGGAGAGACAAUGUCAGAGUGAUAGUCUAUGUGUGCUUGAAACAACAGAUGAGAAGGAGACCAAAAAGCCUUGAAGUUAAGUAAAAGUUGGAAUCGACUUUUAAAUUAAGUAUGUUCCAUGGGGGUUAAUGUUAUUUGAAAGCUGAAUAGCCCAUGUCAAAAAUAGAUUUCCCUUUCUCUCCAAAGUGUAGCAAAAAAUAACCACAUGCCUUUCUUGGACUCCUGACUCUCACCCCAAAGGGUUUUCUUGUAUAAGAACCAACAAUUCCUUGGAUGGAAACACUGGAUAGGCUAGUCAUUAUUUUGAGAUUCAGAAGAUUGCAGAUUCUUGGCAGAGCUCAGUUGUUUUUCUAGUAGUAGGCAAGUGGUUGGACAAAAAGCAAGAAGCGGAUCCGUGUUGCUGGCUUUGGAUUCUUUGAACAAAUGAGACAGACUGAAAAUUACACAGCCUCUUAGGGGGCCCUCAAUGGAGACAUGAUGGAUCACGUGACCACCUUUUCUUCCUGCUUCCCCACUUUGCUCCCUCCUGCCCUUGACUCCUGUCCUCUGGACGCACUCUCCAAAAUAAUCUUCCUUUCCAAAAGCCCUCGUCACAGGCUCUGCUUUCUGCAAGGAACUCGGGGCAGGACAGCACAAUGAUACACUAGAAUGAAGGCGAAUUGUCUGUCUGUGAAUGGGCUUCAAAGAGAACUUGGGGAAACACCAGACCAGAUGCUCAUUGGAAUCAGAGCAUACAGAAUAGAAUGGACAGGCCCCCAUCCAGCUCUAACAAGUUCAAGUGUACGCUAACAAGUAUCUGAGUCUUCCAUGAAGAACAGGAGGAGAAGCUCCCCCAGCCUUGUCAAGCCUUUUGAACAUCUGUAAAAGUACAUGUGACACGGAGAAGAAGCAGAGGACAAAAGAGCGCUUGGACAAACAUUCAGGAAUCCCAAUCGCAGGAGACUUUGGCCCUCUUUCUAGAUCUAAUUAUAAAACUGCAAAUGAUGCUGGCCUAUUCCAAGGAAGUUGUUGCUCUCACUCUAGACGUGGUCUCUGGCGACAAGUAAAGGUGGGGAAGAUGGCAGGGAGUGCCUCUUUGCCUCUGUCAUGAUCCCUUGUGAGGCAGUGUGGCCUUUCCAUCAGCCCGGUUGUUGGCUGCAUGCUCAGGAUUCUGAAAAAUCUAGUUACCUCCCUGUAUCUUUCUGUACCUGUAGAGAGUACAUCUGUAUGAUCUAGUCCAGUGGUUCUCAGAAUGUGGAUGAGACGACCUUUUGCUGAAGGCAGAUUUCCACGGGAGGGAGGUUAAGAAAGCCAAUUCUUGGGUCCCACCCCAGAUCUUCAGCAGUCUGUUCUGACGAGCCUUCCAGGUGAUUCUGAAGCUGGCUUAAGUUUGCAAACCACUUCCCUGGGUCUCUUCCCUCUCACCCUGGCUUUCAAGCUUAGGUGGGCUUCACCAUUGAUUCCAUACGCUGCCCAGAGAAUGGGCUCAGAAACAAAAGAUUUCUUUCUUUACCUCUUGAUAGCCAAGAGGUAAAUAAAGGGCUAGAACUGUGUAGGUAGCUACCUGGAUUACAGAGAGAUAUUUGCUGGACUUUGGAAGUCAGCUGUUUGGAAUGUGAGCUAUUUUCCUGGGAGUGGUGGUUAGGUUCCCAUAGCAUCAUAGUUAAUCCUGAAUCCAGCCAAAAUACUGCUGUGUCACAAUGAAAUGGAGCAGAUCACGAUGCUCCUGUGGUAUUAGAAACCAAUCAGGACAAAAUAAAGCAAUAAAUAAAACACAGGGAUAGUAUUUUAUUUAUGCCAGUACUGUGGUGGAAGGAAAGGUUGAUUUGGAGGUGAUGAAAAAGGUAAAUGGGGAUUUGUCAAGAUUAUGAUGGAGUGGCUGGCCUUUCCCUUUAGAAUGUCAUGGUACUAAGUUCUCUAGUUAGACUUGUCUUGAAUGUGGUUCUGGCCUGUUACUUUAUCUUCUUCUGAAGUCAGAUUUCUCACUAGGAGGGAGGUAAAGAAUGCUGAGGCAAGUUGGCAAGAGUUGAAAAGGAGCAUGGAAAGAGUAAGGGACUAAAAGAGAAUGUGGGUUUGCUUCUCAUGAACACGAGCAUCAGCAGAGACAGGACUCACUUGAGUUGUGAGCGGUGAGAGAUGGCUGGGCCAAGAGAGGGUCAGCAUUCUUUGCUGACAAAAGAGAGGAAAGAAAGCAGACAAAAAAGCCGACCAUAUCGCUCGGGAGCUGCUGUUCUGGAAGCGUUCCUGCCCCUCGUAUUGUCCUGAGAAUUGGCCCUCAACAGUCACCUUUCAUGUCAUCUUGCUCCUCUCUGGCCACAGAUGGGCAGCUGACCAGAGGCCUUGACAGUGACCACUGAUAUGGCAUCAGAAGAUGAGCUGGACCAAUCCGACGUCCUCCCUUUUCCUUCUAGGCAUUUGAACUUGGAAAUACCCAGAAUGGUCGUUCGAUCUGUGAUGGGAAGAAGUACGUGGCUGUGAGCAUGUUACUUGUUUUCCAGUCAAAUGCUUCUAGCUUGCUUUCCUCUGGUGGCUAAAAUACUUUCUUCAGGGGUUCACCCUGCAUUUAUUCAGGAUUUUAUUUUUGUACCAUAAAAAUGAUCCUCGCUGACAGUUGCAUGGCUGGAUUCGGGGAAAUGUGGUAGCCCUAAUGGAAUUAAUUAAUUGAAUAAUAUUGCCUGACAAAUGGCUCUGUAUACCAAAGAGGGAUUGAGACCUAAUUACCGAUGUCAUUUAUCUCUCUAUUUGCACCCCAACAAUAAAUGACUCGUUUCUCAUUAACGUUGGGUCAUCUUCCAAAAGGAAGAAAAAGAGGCCAAAAUAUCAGGGAGGGAAGAAAAAAAAAACGAUGUCUUUGUUCCCCACCUCAUUAUCCUGAUAAAUCACAACAGACUCUGUUAAUUAGAUGGGCAGCUUUAACUGGCUGACUCCUGUCCAACAAUUACCUCAGAGAGACGCACCACUGGGAAUAUUUCCUUCCCUUGGGAGGAGAUGAAAGGAAGUCUGUAACAAAAAAAAAAAAAAAAAGGAUCAUUCCCCCAGCAUGACUGGGGGGAAUUACAGUUGUCAAGGUGAAUUUCUAGACUGAAGGGCUGGAGUUGUUUCAGGGGUGGCACAUUAGGGCGAUGGCGGGAUGUCUGACGCCACCCUCCUUAUCUCAGGCUUAGGUAAUGGCCCCUGGUGCCUCCAGUUCCCCCCCGACCCCCAUCAGAUUAGAGCCUAAUUAAACAGGGGAACAGGUGUAAGAGGGCCUGAUUUGAUCUGGCCAAAUUAAUUGCUGAGAUUGGGCUUGCAGUUGGGAACUGGAAACAGUGAAUUAACUACAGCCGGAAUACAGCUAAUCCCUCAGUAUCGCCUCGUCUGUGUAUAAAAUAGACUGGACUCACCGGGAACACAAACAAAGAGGGAUUUGAAGUGAAGGUACGACGCAUCCUUGCAUGGGAAGUGUUGGGCAAUGAACUUCACCACAGACGGUGGUCCUAUGUCCCAGACUGCACUCCGGGGACAGUCCUGGGUUAUGCCUGUUGUCUCUGCAAAAUUAUUCAUCGUGCCCCCUGUCAUUCUCAGAAACACUCCUGUUUAGACUGUAAAUUAAAUAAUUAUUGCAUUUCA